CCGACCAAUCCAGAAAAGGCCUUUCACACCGACCUGUGCACCCGUGACCGCACGUUCCGGCUGUCUUCUUUCUCUUACCUUGUCUACCGCACUGCCGCCGCCCCGCCGCCUCCACCCCGCGCCGCCGCCGCUGCCCACCCCCUCGCCCCUUCCCACACCGCCUCUGCUGCCUCGCCCCCUCCGCACCGCACCGCCGCCGCCACCACGUCCCGCACCGCUGCGGCGAGCGGAUCGCCGCCUCCUCGCCCUCCCCCAGCCACCGCAGCCCGCCCCCUGACCCACCGCCGCUGGCCUUUGUGUGGCUCGUCGCGGCGAGGCGCCGGUAGCCCCACCGCUUCCACCGGGCGCCGCCACCUGCCUCACCCUUCCUUCCGUGCGUCCGGCUCUUCCCUUGCAGCGGGCCCGGCGGCGGCGAGCCCCGCCUGCCUUGGCCUCCGCCGCGCGGCAGGCACUGCUGCUCCCUCCUCUCUCUUCGCUCGUCCUCCUCCCAGAAGGCGGCGAGGACGUUGCGUCAGCGGGGUGGCGUCGGUCGCGGCCGCGCCCUGCUCCUCUGGCUCUGGCUGCCCACAUCCCGCCUCCCUGCUCCUCCGACUCCCCGCCAUGGGGGCUGCCGCUGCCAGAUCCGGCCGCGGUGGAUCCAGAUCCAGCGGCACGGCCAGGCAGCUUGUGGGUGGAUCCAGAUCCAGUGCCAUGGGGCGCACGGUACAAUCCAAGCAAACAAGCAGCAAACAGUGAAGCAUGUUUUUGAAUAGCCCAGGUCACUCCAUAUGCACUUGAGACAUCAGACCUUCUUGGCAUUCAAAUUGAUGCAGCCAUAAAUCCAGGUUUGUCUUUUAUAUCUGCUUUUGACAAAAAAAAAAACUUACACUAUAUCCUUUUGAAUAGCCCAGGUCACUCCGUAUGCACAUGGGACAUCAGACCUUCUUGUCAUUCAAACUGAUGCAGCCAUAAAUCCAGGAAACAGUAGUAUUAUUGGCAAUGUUAUUCCAACUACAAUGUUAUCCCAUUUCUUAAAUGGCUAUAAGAAAAAUGGAAAGUACACAGAAAUUGGAAAAUCCGGCGUUGCGUGAAAGCUUGAAGGUACCUUCAAGUGAGAUAACCAUAGGCAGAGGACCAUUAAUUGGCUAGAUAUCACUGGAGGACUCUGCUGCAUUUGAUUCCACAACAAAGGGAAGCUGUCAAAAGGAGAUCUGUGUCGGUUGCAAGAUCUGGAAGGAAAACCACCCGGUGUAAUGGGAUGGUGGCAAGAUCAGUUACAUUUGUUGAAAAUCAUGACACAGGGUCAACUCAGGGUCAUUUACCUUUUCCAUCUGAUCAUAUUAUGGAGGUUGUGGGGGAAAACAUUGAGGGGGUUUCGCACACUUUGUCACUACAUGCUUACAAACCGAUACAUCUCUGGAGAAGAAUAAUAGAGUUGAGAAGGAUCCGGGACACGUUAUGUGCGGUGGGAAUUUCAAGUUCUAAAAUAGUGAUUUCUAGAUGUUCUUAGGUAUUGCUCUAUAGUUCAGCAAAAUAGAAAUACAAUAUGUACAUUCGAGGAUAUCCGCUAUGAUCAUCGUUUGCAUAAUAUUCUUAUUGUUUCGAUUCAUUAUUAAUUUAUUAUGCGUUCUAACUACGUGAACACUGAGAUUAUCGGUGGCAAAAUAUUAUACGCAAAUACCUGCUA